rnacentral:tRNA from 1 species
GGGCCCAUAGUCUAGCUGGCUAUGACGCCGCCCUUACAAGGCGGAGGUCGCCGGUUCGAAUCCGGCUGGGCCCA